rnacentral:tRNA from 1 species
GCGCCCGUAGCUCAGUUGGAUAGAGCAACGGAUUUCUAAUCCGUCGGUCGUGGGUUCGAGCCCCGCCGGGCGUG